AUGGCUGUCUCCCCUGUCUUGGGUACAGGCUUCCUUAUGAUGGAAACCUGGUCUGGGUUGCUCAUUACUGAACCUCCUCACACCUGGAGCAGUGCCUGGCACAAGGAGCUUACGAAUCCUCAGAACAGAAGAAACAGAGACGAUUGCUGUCUUCAUUUUAGAGACAAAGAGGUGAGGAGAGCCAGAUAUACUCAUGAACGCCUUAGGUACCUUUUACUAGAAGAGCCACAGCUGAUGCUCAGAACAGAAGGAAGAGAACAGAGGGAAGCGUGGAGUCAGGAACUCAGUGUUCCUGUUGGAGAAACCUCAGGGAGGGAGGCAGCCGCAUUAUACGUCAGCAUCAACUGCCAAAUUGUGGAACAGAACAUUGAAGGAAACUUCAGAGCAUCUUGCCAGCUCAUGCUCCGGCCUGGGCUGGUGGAGGAGGCUGAAACCAUAGCUGCCUGUCUGUCUUUGUCCCUGCUCUGGUGCUGGCAGGGUGGGAGAGCCUCCACACUCUUCCCCAAAUGGAAUGCAUGGGAGGCUGAGGCACGAAGGAUUACUCUUCACGACAAAGCAAGGCAGUGCUUCUGGAGAAAGCUUCUCUCUGCCAAGACAUCACAUUCUCUUUUCAAGCAGCUAAAAAUGAUAAACAUUACAACUGCUAAAAAAUACGUAGAACUUCGUACUUCUACUCAGUGUGCCUGGUUUUCUUUCUAGAGUAUUAAAGAAUAAGCUUGUUCCCUCUUUUACUAAUACUUUUGUUGAAAAUCUGUUGGGGCAGCUCAAACUCUCUGGCCAGCAGAGCAGAUUACUAUUAGAUUGUAAGAAUAAAUAAUAUAAAAUCUAUGGUGAGAACCGACGGCUCCCUGUGUGCCCAGACAAUACUCUGCUGUUUCCUCCUAGGCUGGUGGGUUUCUGAGGUUGGCUCCACUGCAGCUGGAGAGGUUCUGAGGUUAAAUCACUGUGGGUUGCCCAAUGUUAGAAAGGCACCAGUGUGGGAAGAAAGGGCUGAGGACCGUCCAAGUACUAGCAUAGCCCCAGACAUAGAAAUACUACUUACAUACUGAAGGAGGAAACCUUCCCAGCCACAGCAGCAUGUGGGGUGUGGGGACAGCAUGGCACCAGAAGUCUUGGAGGCUGGCACUCUUCUCUCUACUCUGUCUUGCCUGAAUGGUGAUGUGAAUCCAGAUGGUGAUGUGAAGCCAUCCAGCUUCUCUGUGAAUAACUUAAUGCUAAUGGUCCUGUCUUCCCCGACAGUGCUGGCCACUGUUGCACUCUGCAUUGCCCCAGGGUUGUGAGAGCACAAAAGACCUCAUACCCAGGUGGGACUCCCCCCUGCCUUCACCUCCCUUUAACUCCUGUGGUGUUCCUUGGGCCCCUCUGUCUAAGUAAGAUUGAUAAAUGUCAG
rnacentral:lncRNA from 1 species